rnacentral:rRNA from 1 species
AACGCGAAGAACCUUACCAGCCCUUGACAUCCCGGUCGCGGACACCAGAGAUGGAGUCUUUCAGUUCGGCUGGACCGGAGACAGGUGCUGCAUGGCUGUCGUCAGCUCGUGUCGUGAGAUGUUGGGUUAAGUCCCGCAACGAGCGCAACCCUCGCCUUUAGUUGCCAUCAUUAAGUUGGGCACUCUAGAGGGACCGCCGGCGGCAAGCCGGAGGAAGGUGGGGAUGAAGUCAAGUCAUCAUGGCCCUUACACCCUGGGCUACACACGUGCUACAAUGGCGGUGACAAUGGGCAGCGAGCUCGCGAGAGUCAGCUAAUCCCAAAAAACCGUCCCAGUUCAGAUUGCACUCUGCAACUCGGGUGCAUGAAGGUGGAAUCGCUAGUAAUCGCAGAACAGCAGGCUGCGGUGAAUACGUUCCCGGGCCUUGUACACACCGGAGUA